UACGUAGGGAGCAAGCGUUGUCCGGAAUCAUUGGGCGUAAAGCGCGCGUAGGUGGCUUCGUAAGUCCGUUGUGAAAGUCAAAGGCUCAACCUUUGAAAGCCGAUGGAUACUGCGGAGCUAGAGUACGGAAGAGGCGAGUGGAAUUCCUGGUGUAGCGGUGGAAUGCGCAGAUAUCAGGAGGAACACCAAUGGCGAAGGCAGCUCGCUGGGACGUGACUGACGCUGAGACGCGAAAGCGUGGGGAGCAAACAGG
rnacentral:rRNA from 1 species